CACUCUUGACUUUCCACACUGUGACCUUGAUGAAUCCUUUCAGAUGAAUGCUGGUGUGCAAUUUGCUUUCUCCUUUUCAUGCAGACAUGUCCUCUAAUCCACGGAAUAACGCCACCCACAUUUACCGUGGGUUUCCCCAUCUCAAUUAAUUUAAUCUAGAGAAAUCUCACGGACAAGCCUAAAGGCUGGUCUCCUACAUGAUUCCAGAGCCUUUCAAAUUAACAAUCUUAAGAAGCACAAGAAUUAUCUCAGCCAAUUAAUUAAUUUUUAGAAGGACAGAGUCAACAUGUCAGCAUUUUGCAACUCUGAUAAACUAAUGGAUCCAGAUAUACAUUCCCAAUUACUAUUCACGACGCAACAAAUUUUGUACAUCUGACAGAAUUACAUCACCUAGGAACUACUUGUUCCACAUAUGCCCACUAGUUGGGAUACUCAAACUUACAAACAACAUCUUAAAAAAUUAGGAAACAAAGUGAUCAACGAACACCUGUGUUCAAACGCCUCACUCCACCCAGGGCAGAGCUCUGAGGCUCCUGGUGCUGCAGGCAAAGGCCAGAGACCAGCUCACAGGGAACUAACUUCCUCCAGGAGGCUGAGGAGGAAGAGGAAGUGCCUCUUCCAUGUAACCUUGGAAACCGGGGGAGGCAUUCUGGGGAGGCUUUCCCUUAGCACCACCCUUAAUCUGCUCUGGCAGCCUCAGAGGCGGAGCAACCCAGACUCCUGCAUAGCAGCGGUGACGGUGGUAGGGGCAGGGAGCUAACGGUGGAGUCGCUCUGCCCCUUUGGUCUGCAUCACUCAAGGAGGGGGAGGGAACGGCCAUCACGCUGUCCUGGCUUCCGCGGCUCAGUGCCAGCCGCUGCGCUCAGCGUAGAGCCCGGUGCUGGCACGUGCCAGGGCGACGGUCCCUGGUUCUUGAUCCUGAAGGGGCUCUUCCUUGUCACAAGCUCUUUUGGCUGAAUUCUUGUGACGAUUUUGUUUUGCACGGUCCUCUUCAAGAUGGGGUGGCUGCGGCACCCUCCGGGACCAGAAAAUCCAAGGCAGAUGUUGUGUUUCUUUUGGGGGACACACUGGAUGCAUGGGUUACAGAAGUCGAUCAUAUGACAACUGCUUCAGCUGGAGACGUUGCCCGGAGAAGAUCUCAUCACAUUUGCCAAGAAGCAAAUGAUGCUACUACAGAGAGUAAAGCAAGGUGCACAGAUCAGCAGCAGAAUAUCUGAAUACUCUGGAGAUUGCUAGAUGAAAACAUAAGGAGUGAAUUUCAAACUAUAACUACAGAGAAGGACCUUCUGAACAAGAAUGCAGUCGCUUGGGAAAUAAACAAGAUUUGAUGCAUAAGCCAACAUAACACUUAGAAGCUUCUGCACAGGCUUCAUGGUUCCAGCUAAUGCAUCAAAUACAAUAAUGAAAAGGACUGGGCAUAGUGGACAGCACUGAUUAUUUUCAGAUUUGAUUGGGAUUGAUUCAAGUUCUUCUCCACUGAACCUGACGCUGCCCGUGGGUUUGUCAUAGAAACCUCCAUUCUAUUGAGGUACCAUAGGACUUUUAUCAA